AGCUCAAAUCAGGUAAGAAUACCCGCUGAACUUAAGCAUAUCAAUAAGCGGAGGAAAAGAAAAUAACAAUGAUUCCCUCAGUAACGGCGAGCGAAGAGGGAUAAGCUCAAAUUUUAAAUCUGUUGGGUUUCACCUAACAGAGUUGUAUUUUGAAGAAACGUUUUCUGCGUCCAGGAUUAGCCUAAAUCCUUUGGGAUAAGGUAUCAUGGAGGGUGAGAAUCCCGUUCAUGGUUAAUCUUAAGGAUGCUCUACGAUACGUUCUCCAAGAGUCGAGUUGUUUGGGAUUGCAGCUCAAAAUGGGAGGUAAAUUUCUCCUAAGGCUAAAUAUUGGCGAGAGACCGAUAGCGAACAAGUACCGUGAGGGAAAGAUGAAAAGAACUUUGAAAAGAGAGUUAAACAGUACGUGAAAUUGUUGAAAGGGAAACGAUUGAAGUCAGUCAUACCAACGGGAAAUCAACCUCUUGAGUUUGGUCUCGUGGGUUUCGAAGAGUUUAAAAGCCUUCGGAUUUUCGAGAUUGGGCUCUUCUGGUGUACUUUCUCGUACGGUUAGUCAACAUCGGUUUUGAAUGUCAUAAAAUGACUGGAGGAAUGUGGCUUCGAUCUCGUAUUGAAGUGUUAUAACCUUUGGUAGAUGUGAUGUUUGAGACCGAGGAUUGCAACGGAUACCCUUCUGGGCUAUUCGUCUGAUCUCUGAAACGUUGCCUUGAUGUCGAAAGCUUGCUUAUGAUGUUAGGGUAUUACGGUCAAAAGGUUAGAACGGAUUAAAUUCGUUAAGGAUGUUGACGUAAUGACUUUAAACGACCCGUCUUGAAACACGGACCA
rnacentral:rRNA from 1 species